UGUCAAGAAAUGCAAAGGGAAGACCAGGGAAAGGAGAACAUUAGGUAACUGCCAGGUGAAUAAGGCUACUUGUGUUGGUAACUUAUCUCCACCAUAGCGUGGGAUGUGUCUCAUCCACUGGAAAGCUGAGAAGUGCAUCAUAAUUAUAGAGAUUGUGACCUGAAGUUCUGCUUUACCUGUGGAAACACUGUACGGAGAGGACAGAAGUAAAGGGCAGGUAUGGUCAUACCCACACCGCAUAAAACCACAGAAACAGAGUAUUCCUACCUUCCCUGUGUGUUUUCCAGCUUGGUCUCAACCCUGCCUGUGGUGAGCCCGAAAGCUUGAAAGCAGGAAUCCACUGUGCACCACCGUGUUUGCAGGGUGGGUGAUGAGUGGACUGUGUCUGAAAUGUGCCAUCAGAUCACCAAGAGGGUAGGGCAGAUGCACCCAAAGGGAAUGCGUGCUGUGGGGUGGCAGCUGAGUAAAUCAUCAUAACAGUGGGUAAAUAACAAUAGGAGUAUGACCGCAAGGUUACAGUUUGUAAUAAAUGCAGUUUUUGACUGAGUUGGUUCAAAUGGGUUUAAGAUGGUGGUGUGGUUUGUUUUUUUUUUUAUAAUGCCUGUUUGAAUUUUAACUUG